CAGAAGCUAACCCAUUUAUAAAGUGUACAUUUGUUAAUGAAAAGGUUAGUACAAUCCAGUCUGAUGAUGACGUCACUGGAUUUCAGACGUAGGACUGAAGCAAAGCAUGAAAUAGCAUGAACGAGGACUCCUGCCCCAUGACUGCGUUGUUUUAAAUAACUGAAGUUUGGUGGCCAUGCUGUCAGGUGUUUGGAUUCUCAGUACUGGACCAGAUGUAGCGAGUGUCCUUCCUGACCAUCGGGGGAAGUUGUGAACAAAUUGCUAAAUGGUGCAUCAGAAUGAAGAAGGCGCAAAAAAUACACUCGGAAGAGUCACAUAAAGUGUGGCUCAUGUCCCAUCCACUAACACGGAGGAGGCGGGACUCGUGACCUGUACUGCCACCAGCCACCUGGGAGCUCUUGGCCUGUCCGUUGUUUUUAUAGUCGUUGCUGUCAGCUAAAGCCAAGUUGGAAAAACUAUUUACAAAUGCUACACAUGGUGUCUUUAAAUGACCUUAUCUACAAUAUAUCUACUGGAAAAAUGUAAAACAGUAGGAACUGCUGUCAUGACCUGAAGGUGUCCAGGCAUUCAACAAUGUGACAACAACAGGUUGUCAUAGACCCCUGGUGGUCUACAAAGGCAUGGCAGGUGGUCCCUGACCAUGCGUUCAGUAAUGUAGUUUCACUGUAGGCAUACAAUUUUUAAAACGCAUUUCCAUGUGUUAAUUAUAGUUGUGAAUAAUCAGAUUCAUGCAAAUAUAGAGAAUUUUGAAAAACCAAAGUGACUUUCAGGAUUUAAACAGUGUCCAUCCAGUCUAGUCACCCCACUACAGUGGUCCUAAAGUUGUCAGAACGCUGGUCCCUGAGUCCAGUUAGUUGACAACUCCUGAUUUAAGCAAAUGCAGUUAUUACCCUCUGAUAUGUAUUUCAUGGUUUCAUGUGUUUGUUUUCUCAGCAUUUUAAAAUUUUAAGAACUAUGUGUU